rnacentral:lncRNA from 1 species
AACCCCCAGCACGCCCCUUUGCAUUUAUUUUGCUUCUUUUCUUUUUCUUUUUCUUAUUUUCUACCCAUUUUUUUCACUUGAUUUUUUUACCACUUAUUUUUAUUUUGCUGAAAAUAUUUCCAACACAAACUCAUAUUAUUUUUUCCUCUUCUAUUUUAUUAUGCUUUAUUUCAUUUUAUUUGAGCAUUUUCUUAUGGACUUAUGAGUUC